rnacentral:rRNA from 1 species
AUAAAUAAAUUAUUAAGAGCACUUGAUGGAUGCCUUGGCGUUAAGAGGCGAUGAAGGACGUGGCAGGCUGCGAUAAGCUGUGGGGAAUUGUCAACAAAUUUUGAUCCGCAGAUUUCCGAAUGGGGAAACCCAACUAGCUUAGCUAGUUAUUACAUACUAAGUAUGUAAAGCAAACUUGGUGAACUGAAAUAUCUAAGUAGCCAAAGGAAAAGAAAUCAACCGAGAUUCUGUUAGUAGUGACGAGCGAAAGCGGAAAAGGCUAGUGAUUUAAGAAUAAGAAUUAGAAUACUCUGGAAAUAGUAACCAUAGAAGGUGAUAGUCCUGUAUAAGUAGAAAGUUUUUAAAUCCUUGAGUAGAGCGGGGCACGUGAAAUCCUGUUUGAAUAUGGGGGGACCAUCCUCCAAGCCUAAAUACUACUUAACGACCGAUAGUGAACAAGUACCGUGAGGGAAAGGUGAAAAGAACCCCGGGAGGGGAGUGAAAUAGAAUCUGAAAUCAAGUGCUUACAAACAGUUGGAGCUCUAUAUCAAUUUAUUGAUAUUUAGAGUGACAGCGUACCUUUUGCAUAAUGGGUCAGCGAGUUAAUCUAUGAAGCAAGCUUAAGCCGUUAGGUGUAGGCGUAGCGAAAGCAAGUCUGAAUAGGGCGUUUUAGUUUUAUGGAUUAGACCCGAAACCAAGUGAUCUAGUCAUGACCAGAUUGAAGGUGUGGUAAAACACACUGGAGGAUCGAACCAGUUAAUGUUGCAACAUUAUUGGAUGAGUUGUGAUUAGGGGUGAAAGGCCAAUCAAACUUGGAAAUAGCUGGUUCUCCGCGAAAUCUAUUUAGGUAGAGCGUUGUAUGUAUGUUGUUGGGGGUAGAGCACUGGAUAGACUAGGGGGAUUCACCGUCUUACCAAAUCUAACUAAACUCCGAAUACCAACAAUUAAUUAUACAGCAGGCACACUACGGGUGCUAAGUCCGUGGUGGAAAGGGAAACAACCCAGAUCACUAUCUAAGGUCCCAAAAUUACAGCUAAGUGGGGAAGGAAGUAGAAAAACCAUUACAGCUAGGAGGUUGGCUUGGAAGCAGCCAUCCUUUAAAGAAAGCGUAACAGCUCACUUGUCUAAAUAAGUUUUUCUGCGCCGAAAAUGUACCGGGGCUAAAGCUGUAUACCGAAGAUGUGAGUGCUUAUUGAUUUCGAUCAAUAGGCGCGGUAGCGGAGCGUUCCGUAAGUCUAUGAAGGUGGUUUGUGAAAACUGCUG